UACGGGGGGAGCAAGCGUUGUUCGGAUUUACUGGGCGUAAAGGGCGCGUAGGCGGUCAGCACAAGUCAGUUGUGAAAUCUCCGGGCUUAACUCGGAAAGGUCAACUGAUACUGUGCGACUAGAGUGCAGAAGGGGCAACUGGAAUUCUCGGUGUAGCGGUGAAAUGCGUAGAUAUCGAGAGGAACACCUGCGGCGAAGGCGGGUUGCUGGGCUGACACUGACGCUGAUGCGCGAAAGCCAGGGGAGCGAACGGGAUUAGAACGU
rnacentral:rRNA from 1 species